rnacentral:lncRNA from 1 species
UUCACGGAGAUAAGCUAGAACUUGUCCUGUUUCCACACUUAAAAGACAAAACUACUUGAAUAUUUCAAGAUUAUGACUUUCUCCUUGCUUAAGUGUGAAGUCUUGACAAUCUUCAAAGGACAUGGAUUUUCAAAUACAUGUCUCCAAUCAGACAGUUUCUCUAAAUAUGCCUUAAUUCUUUCAUUUUUAUGUUGAAGUGGCCCUCCCAUAAUUGAACAUGGAAAUGAAAUAGAAAGAACAAAAUCAUUCCUCCAUGUUCCCAGCUGCAGGGCUACUCACAAGAAGACCUCACACAUGGAGCAGGUGUUGCCAUGCACUUUCCCAUCUGGGCCCUGGAUAGGAUCGUUCUCUCUGGUGCAAGCAAGUUUUCCGUUCCUCACAAGCUUUCGAUAUUCACUGCAAAGCUCCUGCCGAGAUAGAAGAAAUCAAUAGGGGUCAGGGGAUAUCUUUCAUGAGGUUCCAGCACAAACACAACAAAAUGCAGCAGCCAAAUCACAAAAAAAAAAAGAAAAAAAAGUUGUGAGAAGAUGAGAUGUCUAAAAGUGACUUAAUAUGGAUCAAGUCAAGAAUAAUCCAGCUAAGUUUAAACUUCAAUCAAUGAUAAGAAGAAAAAGAAAAGAAGCCUUUCUGUGAGAAAGGCUAUUUCACAGUGUAAAGACAAAGAAUUGCAUGCUUCAUGAAAAGGAUUUUAUCUCUCUGCUGAGUGAUUCUCGGGACAGCAACCAAGUGCAUCAUCAUCAAGUCCACCUGGGGAUGAUGCUACUUACAACAGCUCAGCACACAUUGCACACUUAUUGCCAUGCGUCUUCCCAUCAGGACCAAGAACAGGAUCAUUUUCCCUUGUGCAUCCAAGUCUUCCAUCUCUAACAAAGGGCCGAAAAGCACUGCAUACAUCCUGAAGAACAGGGAAAAGAACUUGAAACUUACCAAGAUUGUAAUGCUGACAACACUGUUUUCAGAAAUUUUAUUGAACUCAGUCCCUCUGACAUUGCUAUGGGCCACUUAGAGCAGUACCAGCUGUGUAGAUGUAGCUCAGUAAGUACUCUAUAAUUCAUGUGGUUAAAUAUAAAACUUUUUUACUUGUUUAUUCAUUUAUUUAGUAAACAGAUAACCUACUAUGUGCCAGAACUCAGACAGAGCACAGUCCUUGCCAUCAACUUGCUCCCAAUCUCCUAGGUGAUAAAAAGAGACAUUUAAAAUUGCAUGAUGCUAAAUGACUUGGUGCAAGUCACCUCAGGUGCUCUGGAAGCUUAUAAAAAGGGCAUCAGACCUUGAAAAUUAGGAAAAUCAUUCACCUGGAAAAAGACAAGUGUGACAUGUAUGAGAUCCUUUCUUCCUUCCCCUUCCCCUACCAUCACAGGCUCACAAAACUGUAUCAUAGAAAAAAAAUCUAUUUAGUUCAAAUCUCAUUUUAGGUUAAGUAAUUUGUCCAAGGUCUCCAAACAGCAAGUGACACUGCUGGGGUUUUAACGCAGGCUAAGUGACUGAAGUGUUGUGCCCUUUCUACUACACAUGUAGUUUCCUUUUUAUUUCUUCUUCUUCUUUUUUUUUUUAUACAAAGCAGCAAUAGAUUGAAAGAUCUAACCACCAAAGUAAUCUGAUCCAGUUUCAGAGACUAUAAUUAGCUUUUUCAUAUUAGUGGGCAGUACUGGGUAUUCCAUUUCACAUAAAGCAAGAAUUAAUUCCUUCCAAGGCUCCCACCUAAGAAGGAAGAGGAGAGCACCUACUUACUAUUUGAAGUUAGCCUCCCAGUAUUUCCCAUCAGGCUGACAAUUGACCUCACCUGCUCUGGAUUACUGCUCUUACAUUCCCCUUCACUUUUUACACCAAUUUGGGACCCGGUUUUCCUAGAAUCAAAAGUUAGUAGACACAGCAGUUUAAUAUCACAGAACUUCCCACCAUUCAAACCUAACUGCUCUACAUUGCAUUGUCAUUCUCCUUUACUCCCGAAAACAGCUGCCACAUAGUAUUAUUUUAUUACUUUUUCUAAUAAAAGUCACUGUUUAUAACUUCAAGUCAAAGAAAUGUAGUUAACAUGGAAGAGAUGGUAAAGAUUCAGACUUGUAAAUGUUAUUUAUAGAAAUCUUUUUUUAACCUUUGUUUAGAGGAGGGAUCCACAUCAGAAGAUGGGGAAAAGUAAAGCUUGUAACUGGAUAAUAGAUAACACUCAGCACCCAAGGAACUUUGUUGUUUUAAAUAAACAAAGUCAAAUUUGUAUUAUCUAACAUCCCACUAUACUACUCUUUAUUUGGGUUAUGAAGACUAGUAUUUUAUUUUUCAUAGAAAGUACAUAAAGUCUUGAUAAUUAAUUUUGUUCAGUCUCGUAGACCUUUAAAGUAUAUCUGAAAACACAGAACCGCAAAUGUAAGACAUAUUUCCUAAUUUGUAAAAAGUUAAAGCAGAUUACAAUGAUAACAUCUGUAAAACAAUAAAAAUUUAGUAAAAACAAUAUAAAGAAAAAAACUAAAUAUUUAAAAGUGAUAAGAAAAAAGUUAUUUCAAAGGAUAUCAGCUGAGGGGCACUAUAAAAAUAAAAUUUUCAAUUUUAUUGUAGAGCCUCCUAGCAGCUAGAGCUGCAAGGGAAACAACACAAGGAGAAGUAUGAUUCUCAUCGCAUAGUACAAAGUACAUAGUACAAAGAAAUAUACCAGAAAUUAGGGGAGAGAAACUUUCACCUGGACCAGAGAUUUAAAGAUUUAUAAUGGGAUUCCCCACAUAAGACACAGUAAGAAUUAAAUAUAUAGCAUGCUCAUACUUGUGCUACACAAUAUAUAUCUGAUAAAAAUCUGUGUGUUCUUCAUAUAUCUACGUUUGUUUUCGGUUUCUCUAUGUUGACCCUUGGUGAGAGUUGAGGACAUAAUUUUAAAGUGAAUUUCUGAAAAUACCAUCCUGCAAAAGAUGAGAGUGUUUUAAUGCAGUUUUAUUUUGCUGAAAAUAUUUAUUGCAAGGAGAGCUAAAGCUUGCAGGAUCUCAAAAAGUGAAUAAUUAUAAUACCCCUCAUUAGCCUGUACACACCUUGGUUUUCAUAUUUGCAAAACCUUAAGACCAGACAAUUCAAGAUUGAGAUCACAAGCCAGAACCCGCCAAGCAGGUAUGUCAUCUUGUUGGUGAAGACAAUUGAUAACCAAAUCUAGCAUUGAAGGUAGAGAAAGAACAAAACAGGGACAAGAUAUAGGACAGUAAGAUGCCUUAGCUAUUUGGUAAAUGUUGAGAGAUGGGAAGAAAUUUAAUAUUGAAAGUCUCAAUUAUCUACUCUAAUAUUACAAAUUAUUAAGCACUUAAUAAACAUAAUUUGAUGAUGAAAUAAUUCUCUGUGAAAAAGGGUAUACACAUAGAUAAACAAAUAGAUAAUAGAUGAUGGAUAGAUAGAAGAUAGAUGUGUGUAUGUAUAUAUAUGUAUAUAUGUAUGUAUGUGUGUAAAUAUAUUAUAUAAUCUGUUAUAUAUGAUAAUCAUAUAAUCUAUAACUUAUAGAUUAUAAAAUCAUAAGUCUAUAUUUUAUUAAAAUAUUAAAUCUGUUUUAUUAUAUUAAAGCUAUAUUUUAUUAUACAUUUUAAAUAUAAAAUCUAUAACAUUUUAUAGAUUAUGAACAUAUAAUCUAUAAUCUCCCUAUUCUGUCUACUUCAUAAAGUGAUAACCAUCUGAUAAAUCAUACAUAAAAGUGCUUUGUAAAAUAUAAAGUGUUAUGCUAUACACCUUUAUUUGUCUUAAGAGUAGUAAAAGAAGUGGUACUAAUAAUUUAGGAAUGGCUAACUCCCACAUAAUGAAUCGUUAGCUUAAAGACUGUAGGGAAAAUUGUGUCAUGUAAUUAUAGAGAGAACACGUUUUAGGGAGAAAGCCUACUUCAGAGAAUACUCACGCAUUCUCAGCACACAGUGCACAUCUGUUGUCAUAUGUUUUCCCAUCUGUGCCACAAACAGCUUCAUAAUAAUCAGGACAGAUAAAAUCCCCAUCUCUUUCUCCUUUUUUAAAAUCAUCACAAUUCAGCUGCAAAAGACAUGAUCAAGGAACGUCAAAAUGUAAGAAACAAAAUAGUCCUUAGAUGUAUAAAUAGAUUAACAUUUUAAGCCCACAAUAAUGUAAAUUGCUGGAGAAGAAAAACAUAUCAUGAAGGCUACAUUGAGCUAAUAAAUUUAUGGGCAAUAAAACAUGAUCCAAGAACAGAUAAAAUUAGAUUUCAAAAGAAAGAAUUUCAGUAUUACUUCAGCCACUUGCUGUCUGGGUGAAGUAGGCCACGUCACCACUCUGAAACUUGGCAUGUUGUUCGUCUGUCCAAUCCUGCCUGCCUUCUCCACAGAGUAGUAGUGAGGCCCAGUAGAUUACGGAUAUGAAAGCUCUAAGUAAACUAUAAACUACAGCAAAGUUUCUAUUAUUAUAGAUUAGAAUAGUAAUUAAGAGCAGGAUUGCUUGUUUCAUAUUUCUAAGUCUGCCACUUAAGCUAUGGGACUUGGACAAGUUAUUUAACACCUCUAUGCUUUAGUGUCCUCAUGUGCAAAAUGGUUAUAAUUUUGUCAAACUCUCAGGACUAUAUAGGGAUUUACAUAUGUUAAUUCAUGUAUAGCACUUGGAACAGUGCCUGACACAGAACCAUUUAUUGUUGUUGUUGUUGUUAUUUUCAAUGUUUUCUCUACUGACAAGCCAAGUAAACUAAACAUCUUUUAGGUACGGCAGGAGAAAGCCCAAAUCUCUAUUCUAAUAAUGUGACAUACACUUAGGAACAAACCUGAUGGUAAAGAAAAACAAAUGUACAAAGUAAUAACUGAAGACUAGUGUUCAAGUCUCAGACCUGCCACCCACUCACUUCACCUCUUUGCACCUCACUUUCCUCAUCAGAAAAAUGGAAAUUCACACCCUACCUACAUUCCAGAUUUGCAAUAAGGAUCAAGUGAAUUCUUAUGAAACAUUAUUUGGCAACUUAUUAUUGUGACAUAACCUAGCUAAAAAAGAUAUAGAGUUAACUUGACUUUAACUUUUACCUAAAACCAAAUAAUAAAACUGGAUAAUUUUUCUUUAGAAUAUCACAUUGCAAAAUACAACUUCAUGUUAUCAUUGUCAAAAUAAAGACAUUUUAAUGAUAAAUAUGAAACACUUAGAAUGUAGACCUAUGAUGUAUCAGUAUGUCACAUAAUAUAAAGAAUAAAAGUAGGAUACAGAAGAUCAGGUUGAGAAACUCUUAUCUAGAAGGAAAAGAACUGAAAAUAGAAAAGAAAAGCUAAAGAACAUACUCCACUAUUCAUAUGUUUAGAAAGAAGUUAAAAAUACAUUGAAAAUAAGAUAAGCAGUGGCCAUAUAAGUUAUUUCAUUCAUUCAUUUGUUCAUUUAUUCCACAAAAUUUAUUACAUAUUAACUACAUUUUAGCACUCUUCUGGACUGUGAAGCUGCCACAGAAAAUAUAAAAUAAAAAAGAGAGAGAGAGAAAAAAAUGGAAUACAUAUUCUAAGGAGCUUACAUUCUGAUAGAAAGAGACAGAUAUGCACAACAACUAUAAAUUAUAGUAAGUGCUCUCACAAAUAAACAGAAAAAUACAAUAGUGACCAGAAUGGGGACUAUUUUAGAUAUAGUGGCAAAAACAUUUGAGGGAAGAACAUUCUGGGCAUAGAGAACGGCAAUUGCAAAGGAUUUGUGGUGGAAACUAGACUGUCCUUUUUAAGGAAUGGACAGAAAGAAGGGAAAUGUGACCGAAGCAUAAAGAAAAAGCAGGAUGGCUCUUGGUUUUCUCUCAAAAAUCAUUCCUGAAGAUACUACAGAAGCAUAGGGAAAUUACAGAUCAAAGUAAUUAACUCAAAACAAUCACUACUAUCCCCCUUCCCCAGAAAAUCAACAGCAACGUACUAACUAGGUCACAGGUGUAGAGAGGGGAAUGACAGAGCAAGUCAAAAGGCCAGCUGGGGGAUGAUGAAAACAGGCGCAAGGAUAUAUGACUCCAUCUCCUUCCCCUCCAAACCCCUAGGUGGUGGAUCACAACCUACAGAAAACACCUCUUCCUAAUGUUGACAAUGCCUGAGACCUUACAGAUAGAUUCCUGACCUGGUGAAGUGGCAGCAAGCUGGAGUGGAAAAGAGGGGAUUCAGAACCUCCAGCACUGGGUCUUAUCUCUUUUUCUAUCCUUAUACUCACCAGAAGGGCUACAGACUGAAGCUUGACAUUGAACACUACCUAACUGAAUUUAGCAGAAAAAAUAAAUACAGCCAUUAUGGAAUAUUACAAUAAGAAUAUCUGUAUAUCUGACAAGUAAAAAAUAGAAUAUACUAAACAACAUGUAUUAAUUGAAGUAGAAAUAUUGGAAUGGGUAGAAAAAUAUUUUAUCAAGUCUAAUUAUGUUAUGGAGAGAUAAGAGAAGAUAUCUGCAUAAACAAAUGUAAAACAAUAACAAGAAAGAAGUUAUAAAGGAAGAACAAAGUGGAAAUUUUGUAUAUGGAAAAUAUUCAAAUGAUAAUAAAUCUAGCAAUAUAAAGAAUAAAGAUGGGAUAGGUACAAAUAAAUAAUGAACUUGUGAACCAGAUGAUCAGAUCAAGGAAUUCUCCUAGAAGGCAAUGGAAAUAAGAAACAAUUUUUCUAAAAAAGGAAAAGCUAAAGAACAUUUAAAAUAGAAUUAGAAGUCUCCAAAAGAAGGAAAUAAAUAUAGAAAGAAAUAUCUGAAGAAAGGAACAAUUUCUAUAAUUAACAAAAAAAGAAUAAAAGAGAAAAGCAAUAAGAAUUUUAAGCUAAAAUCAAGUUAAUAACAAAAUUAUAUUUACAGAAAAUAUAUGGAGAGUGGAUUAACAUACAUUUGGAGAGAAGACAAAGAAAUUGACAAUAGACACAGAUAUUAGCAAUAGAAUAAAUAAUCAAAAGUAUGGCUAUUUGUUUAGGGAUAGUCAUAAUAAGAACAAAAAUAAAUCACCACCCAAAAAAAGCUAGAAAGAAGAAACUACUAAAUAUAGUAACCGAAAAUAUUUUAAAAAUGAAAGAACCAAGUCUCACUAUAACAGAAAUAACAAUAAAUAUAAAUGUGCUAAACCUACAAAUUAAGAGACAAUUGGUAAUUUGAUGUUUAAAAAAGAACCCAUGUAUUGAGAAAAAUUAAAAUGAAAAGGCAUGCAAAUAUCAAACCAGUAAGAUAAUAAAAAUAUACAAGACAAAAAUGAAGAGGAAGAGAGCAUAUGCAGCAAUAUUAACACUUAAAAAUUAGAAUUGAGUCCAAAAAUGUAUCAUAAGUGACAAAGAAGGACAAUAUAUGAAGUAAAAAAUGACAAGAACAAGAACAAGAAAGUAUAACAAUCAUGAGCAUAUAUUCACCUAAUAAUAUAGACUUUAAAUAUGUCAAACAAUAACAAACAGAAUGUAAUAGACUUAAAUAAAUCAAUAACUGGAGUUAGAGAUUUAAGCAAACACUUCUCAGAAAUUUAUAUAUUAAGUAAAAAAAAAAGAAUAUUAAGCCAUUAGAUUUUUAUAGACAACUACAACCAAGAAACAGAAAAUAAACAUUUUUUAAGAAUAUAUAGGCCGGGCGCGGUGGCUCACGCCUGUAAUCCCAGCACUUUGGGAGGCCGAGGCGGGC